GACGAACGCUGGCGGCGUGCUUAACGCAUGCAAGUCGAACGGAAAGGCCCUGCUUUUGUGGGGUGCUCGAGUGGCGAACGGGUGAGUAACACGUGAGUAACCUGCCCUUGACUUUGGGAUAACUUCAGGAAACUGGGGCUAAUACCGGAUAGGAGCUCCUGCUGCAUGGUGGGGGUUGGAAAGUUUCGGCGGUUGGGGAUGGACUCGCGGCUUAUCAGUUUGUUGGUGGGGUAGUGGCUUACCAAGGCUUUGACGGGUAGCCGGCCUGAGAGGGUGACCGGCCACAUUGGGACUGAGAUACGGCCCAGACUCCUACGGGAGGCAGCAGUGGGGAAUAUUGCACAAUGGGCGGAAGCCUGAUGCAGCAACGCCGCGUGCGGGAUGACGGCCUUCGGGUUGUAAACCGCUUUCGCCUGUGACGAAGCGUGAGUGACGGUAAUGGGUAAAGAAGCACCGGCUAACUACGUG
rnacentral:rRNA from 1 species